AUGAAUCCCCAUCCCAGGAGGAAGGCGUGGCGGGGACGGAAGAAACAACCACACGAUCUGUGACAGUGACCAAGCUUUAGAGGCCCCGUGUGCCUGCCAGGCGCCUGAGCCCACACCGUCCACGCUUCCCUGCCCCGGCGGGAACCAGCUGUUCUCCUUGCACCGGCGAGGGCGCGGGGUCACCCCCGCCGGGCCGACCCCAGGCAUGAGCUCCAGAACCCCCUCCCAAUCGCCCCGUCUUGGGAGCGCAGGGAGUCUGGCUCUUCCCUGCCAAUAACGAAAUCAUCACGGACAUUAGGAAAGCGGGGCGAGGCUGGGAAGGGAGCGGCUUUAAUCCGGGGUCCGCCCCCUUCAAUUCUCCAGCUUAGCGGUCCCGAAAGUGGGGUGGGGACGGGGAUUGAGGCUGAGCUCGCUUCUUCCUUGUUUUCCGGGUCUCGCGCCUCUGAAGCGAACUAGGCCUGGAGGAGUGCUGGGGGUCGAGGAAACAGGGUUGGGGUGACCGAGGGACAGGUGGGGCGGGCACCUGGGCCCCGGUCGAGGCGGAUUCCGAGGCGGAGCCGCUGCCUGCCUGCGCCUCGCCUGCUCGGUCCACCCAACAGCUCCGCCCUAGACUCGCAGCUGCGGAAGCGGUGGGCCGGGUGGUGAUUACAACCCUGAGCGCUGUCCCUUUGGAACCUGACUCCUGACUCCGCUCAGCAACCGGGACGUUGCGACCUCAAAGCCCUCUGUGCUUCUCCAUCGAUACCGGGCCGCCUCUCUCGCCUGCAGCGCACGCCUCCGCCCCCAGGGGCAGCGCAGCGAGGCGGAGACCCUCCUGCAUUCCGAGCGUGCGGGGCAGCCCUCAGACUGAGGACCUGCGACUUCGUGGGACGCCGGUGUCCGCCACUGCGCCCCUCCAGGGAGCAGAGGCGGCUCUGGAAGUCGGUUUAGGGCGGAGACCGCGACUGGAGGGGCGCAGAACGCUCUUCCCAGCGUCCCGGGCUCCACCGGCACAAUUUUAAAACCAGGGGCGAAAUCCGAGUCCUGCCGCCACGCGGGGGUGGAGCGUGACCGCCUCGCCGCGCGCUGUCUCAGGCUCCGCCGGCUUUAGCGCCGCGAGGCUGCCAGGUAAAAUACCUCUUUUCUGACAAGACUAGGACUCUUACAUAGACUACCAUGAACUAAAAGAAGCACAACAUUGCCAGAGUAACCUGUGGUACGUGUAUUAAUCACUUACUGAACAUUUUAC
rnacentral:lncRNA from 1 species